ACGCACCAUUGCUCACACUCCCUCUCUUUCACUUUUCCCCUUUCCUUCUUCCUUAGGCCUCGCUCUACUCAUACUCUACAGUAUUUCUACGCGUAUCUCUACGCUCCCUUCCAUUGCCGCCCAUGGCAGACACCGACAUCACCACUCCGUUUCUCUCCUCCGAUCACAUCGUCGUCGACGUCCGCGGCAGCGCUCACCCCGCCUCCUCCGCCGCCGAUGCGAAUCCCUUCCGUUCGCUUGGGUGCACUGAGGAGUUUACCGUGCCGCCGCCGGCGACGGUGGACCCAUUCCGCAAUGACACGCCGGGGAUGGAAGGGGCGUACGAGUGGUUGAAGACGGUGGUGUGUUUGCCGCUUGCGGUCGUGCGGUUGGUGCUGUUUGGGCUGUGUUUGGCGGUGGGAUAUGUGGCGACCAGAGUGGCGUUGGAAGGGUGGAAGGAUAAGGAAAACCCUAUGCCGAAGUGGAGGUGUAGGGUUAUGUGGAUCACUCGAUUGUGUGCUAGAUUCAUUCUCUUCUCUUUCGGCUAUCAGUGGAUAAAACGGAAGGGGAGACCAGCACCAAGGGAAAUUGCUCCAGUAAUUGUAUCCAAUCAUGUAUCUUAUGUUGAGCCUAUCUUCUAUUUCUAUGAAUUAUUUCCCACCAUUGUGGCGUCUGAGUCUCAUGACUCCAUACCUUUUGUUGGCACCAUUAUUAGAGCAAUGCAGGUCAUAUAUGUUAACAGGUUCUUGCCAUCAUCAAGGAAGCAGGCUGUCAGGGAAAUAAAGGAUCUGAAUUACAGAGAAGGGCCUCUUGCAAUAGAUUUCCUCGAGUACUAUUAUUUCCAGAGGGAACCACAACUAAUGGCAGGAACCUUAUCUCCUUCCAACUUGGUGCAUUUAUCCCUGGAUACCCUAUCCAGCCUGUAGUUGUACGCUAUCCUCAUGUGCACUUUGACCAAUCCUGGGGUAAUGUUUCUUUGGGAAAGCUUAUGUUCAGGAUGUUCACACAAUUUCACAACUUUUUUGAGGUAGAAUAUCUUCCCGUGAUUUCACCCCUGGAUGAUAAGGAAACUGCUGUACAUUUUCGUGAAAGGACUAGCCAUGCUAUUGCAACUGCAAUGAAUGCUUUCCAGACAGGACAUUCUUAUGGUGACAUAAUGCUUCAUAUGAAAGCACAAGAAGAAAAACAGGAGAAUCCCUCAAUUUACAUGGUUGAAAUGACCAAGGUGGAAUCAGUGAGUCUCUUGAAACAAAUGAGCUUGAAUUAAUGUUGUCAUUGUUUAAAUAUACCCUUAACUUUUUUCUGCUGACAUUGUCAAAGCCCUGGUCUUAAACUUGUUACCACUUCAGGUGAGAUUUAUGCGUUAAACCUUUUAUCUGUUUGUCCUGUAGUAUAUGCAAAUGCUACAGCAACCCUUUAAUGGAUGCUAGAGAUAAGUGACCUAGAGUGGCUGCAUACGUAGUGAAAGGGUGAAAAUAUUUUGUAUUAUGGUAUCUUAAUGAUAAGUGAUAGAAUGACACAUCUUGUCUCUCUUACUGGUCUGCCUACAUGGUAAUGCCAAAGGAUAAAAGAGAAUUUGUGCUUCUUUUCAGUUAUUUCAUAUUAGCAGCUUGGAAGCAGUGGACUUUCUGGAUAAAUUCUUGGCUAUGAAUCCUGAUCCCAGUGGUCGUGUUCAAUAUCAUGACUUCUUGAGGGUUUUAAGACUUAAGGAUUGCCCGCUAUCUGAAAAGAUAUUUGCGUUCAUUGAUGUGGAGAAGAGUGGGACAAUUACAUUCAGACAGUUCUUGUAUGGAUCUGGACAUGUCAGGAAGCAGCCAGGGUUCCAUCAAGCCUGUGAAGAAGCCUUUGCUGGAUGCGGUGGUGCAGUAAAACCCUACAUUGUUGAACAAGAAUUACAAGAUUUCAUCCAACCUGCCAUCCCCAGCUGGAACAAGGAUGGGGUUCAUGAGCUUUUUAUGUUAUUUGAUGAUAAUAAUGAUGGAAGAUUUGACAAGGAUGACUUUCUUUCAUGCCUUAGAAGAAAUCCUAUCCUCUUAGCAUUUUUUAUACCUCAACCGCGGCACAAGGAAUUGAAUGCUAAUGGAGUACUAGAGAUAGUGUGAUGGGUAUACUCUUGCUUUUUAGGUGGUUGUCUUAUAGGGAGUACAAAGCAAAGUAAUGGGUAGGUAUUCCUGGGGAUUACAUACAGUAUAGGAUGCAGAGGCCUCAUUUUUUUCCUUAUUUUUUACCUUGCCCUGAUUAAUUACUCAUAAAGCGUAAUUAUUUGGUCAAGAUUUGUGUCUUCCUGCUUUAUUUUAACUAUAGGUCAGUUUUGCACAGCUGGAUGUCGGUUAUCUGGGUGGAUGAUCGUACUGAUCCAACUUUUGAAUUUUGGUUCAGGGACCACAAUGGCAUUUAGGGAUCAAUGUGGUUCAUGUAAGGCUUGAACCUACUUGUUAGGUUUUCUUUUGUAACAAACAUUGUGAAUGCACUCUCAGAGAUGUGAACCAGAAGGUAAUAUAAUUGAUCCUGGAAUUUUUAGAUGGAAUCUCAAGAAAUGAUUUUGUUGUUUUGGAAUGCAUGAUGAUUUCAUG